rnacentral:rRNA from 1 species
UACGUAGGGUGCAAGCGUUGUCCGGAAUUAUUGGGCGUAAAGAGCUCGUAGGCGGUCUGUCGCGUCGGCUGUGAAAACUCGGGGCUCAACCCCGAGCCUGCAGUCGAUACGGGCAGACUAGAGUGCUGUAGGGGAGACUGGAAUUCCUGGUGUAGCGGUGAAAUGCGCAGAUAUCAGGAGGAACACCGGUGGCGAAGGCGGUGCUCUGGGCCAGUAUUGACGCUGAGGAGCGAAAGCGUGGGGAGCGAACAGG